rnacentral:rRNA from 1 species
GACGAACGCUGGCGGCGUGCUUAACACAUGCAAGUCGAACGGAAAGGCCCUGCUUUUGUGGGGUGCUCGAGUGGCGAAAGGGUGAGUAACACGUGAGUAACCUGCCCUUGACUUUGGGAUAACUUCAGGAAACUGGGGCUAUUACCGGAUAGGAGCUCUUGCAGCACGGUGGGGGUUGGAGAGUUUCGGCGGUUGGGGAUGGACUCGCGGCUUAUCAGCUUGUUGGUGGGGUAGUGGCUUACCAAGGCUUUGACGGGUAGCCGGCCUGAGAGGGUGACCGGCCACAUUGGGACUGAGAUACGGCCCAGACUCCUACGGGAGGCAGCAGUGGGGAAUAUUGCACAAUGGGCGGAAGCCUGAUGCAGCAACGCCGCGUGCGGGAUGACGGCCUUCGGGUUGUAAACCGCUUUCGCCUGUGACGAAGCGUGAGUGACGGUAAGGGGAAAAGAAGCACCGGCUAACUACGUG